rnacentral:rRNA from 2 species
UAGGGAAUCUUCCGCAAUGGCGAAAGCCUGACGGAGCAACGCCGCGUGAGUGAUGAAGGUCUUCGGAUCGUAAAACUCUGUUAUUAGGGAAGAACAAAUGUGUAAGUAACUAUGCACGUCUUGACGGUACCUAAUCAGAAAGCCACGGCUAACUACGUGCCAGCAGCCGCGGUAAUACGUAGGUGGCAAGCGUUAUCCGGAAUUAUUGGGCGUAAAGCGCGCGUAGGCGGUUUUUUAAGUCUGAUGUGAAAGCCCACGGCUCAACCGUGGAGGGUCAUUGGAAACUGGAAAACUUGAGUGCAGAAGAGGAAAGUGGAAUUCCAUGUGUAGCGGUGAAAUGCGCAGAGAUAUGGAGGAACACCAGUGGCGAAGGCGACUUUCUGGUCUGUAACUGACGCUGAUGUGCGAAAGCGUGGGGAUCAAACAGG